CCUGCGGGAGAGAGCUAGAUCGCGGGGCGGCAUUUAGGGUUUGACGGUGGGCUACUAGGGGAGGGGCUUCAAGGCUGCCCAGGAAUGGACGAAGCGAGUUCUGCGAGCCCGUUUUGUGUUUGUAGCUGAGGAAGCCCUAGUAUGGCUUAGAAUGCACUUGGCACCAACAAGCACAUAAUCUUCAGUUGCCAGCCAUCAGUUGCCUUCCCGAAGCAGACAAUCCUUCUUUGGUGAGAACUCUUUGCUAUCUCAGCAUUAUCAACAAUAGCCAAAUUAUGGAGAGAGCCUAAAUGCCCAUUGACUGAUGAAUGGAUGAGGAAGAUGUGGUAUUUAUAUGCGAUGGAAUAUUACUCAGUCACCAACAAGAAUGAAAUCUUGCCAUUGCAACAAUGUGGAUGGAGCUAGAGUAUAUUAUGACAAGAGAAAUAAGUCAGUCAGAAAAAGACAAAUACCAUAUGAUUUCAUUCAUAUGUGGAAUUUAAGAAACAAAACAGAUGAACGUAUGGAAAGGGGAAAAGAAGAAAAAAGAGAAAGAUGGGGGAACAAACCACAGGAGACUCUUAAUGACAGAGAACAAACUGAGGGUUUGAUGGAGGGAGGUGGGUAGGGGAUGGGCUAGAUGGGUGAUGGGUAAUAAGGAGGACACUAGUUGUGAUGAGCCCUGGUGAACUGAGUAAUUCACCAAUUACUCAGUUCUACUCAAUUCUACUGCUGAAGCCAAUAUUGCACUGUAUGUUAACUGACUAGAAUUUAAAUUAAAAAAAAAAAAAAAAAAGAAAGAAAUCUUUGCUACCUCAAGCCCAGAAAGAUAUUUUAUAUUUCUUUUGCUUUACCUUUUACAAUUAGGUCACUAAUGUAUCUGGAAUUUAUGUUUGUAGUGUGAUGUAAGGGCCAAGAUUCAUUUUUUAUGAAUAUAGCUAUCAGUUGACCCAGUGCUACUUAUUGAAAAGACCACUAUGUCCCAACCAUAAUGCAGAGGAACCUUUGUCGUAAAUCAGAUGACCACAUAUAUGUAGGUGUAUUUCAAGGCCAUUUAUUUUGUUCCAUUGGUCUGUUUGUUCAUUCUUGUGCCAAAACCAUACUGCCUUAAUGACCAAAGUACUACUUUCACAUUAACAAAUUCAAGGACAAAAAUAUUAUAUCAAUGUGUCAAAAUAGUAUCUGAUAAUAUUCAGCAGG